rnacentral:rRNA from 1 species
GUAGGUGGCAAGCGUUAUCCGGAAUUAUUGGGCGUAAAGCGCGCGUAUGCGGUUUUUUAAGUCUGAUGUGAAAGCCCACGGCUCAACCGUGGAGGGUCAUUGGAAACUGGAAAACUUGAGUGCAGAAGAGGAAAGUGGAAUUCCAUGUGUAGCGGUGAAAUGCGCAGAGAUAUGGAGGAACACCAGUGGCGAAGGCGACUUUCUGGUCUGUAACUGACGCUGAUGUGCG